UAUUUCAAGCAGCUGGGAUACCUGUGUCACUCCUGCUGUCUGCCAGUGACUGCCCAGGUGUCUGCUGGUUCCUCCCCAGGAGUAGGGAGGAACCAGGUGGGCUGGCUGGGAUGGGUGGAUAUUUAAAGACCAGGCCUUGGACGCUGCAGCACUUCUAUCUCUGCUUGAUGCCUGCUGCCACGUGGCUGGUCCUCCUCCUCCUGCUGUGGCUGAGCCUUGGGGUGAAGACAGGCUGGAGUGCAGUGGCGUGAUCUCAGCUCACUGCGACCUCUGCCUCCUGGGUUCAAGAGAUUCUCGUGCCUCAGCCUCCUGAGUAGCUGGGACUACAGGCAGCUGCUCCCAACCCCAGAACCUUUGCUGUCUUGGGACGGAUCACCGCUGCAAGAGGGGAAGUUGCUACUGUGAUGAAUUCUGCCAUGUGGCACCAGACUGCCACCCAGACCACAGUGUCCUCUGCAACCCUGGUAACUCACAUACAGGCCCGAUUCCACCUACAGCAAAGCUGGAUGCGAUGGCUGGCAGAGGCAAACCCUUUGCCUGCACUUCAGGCCAAAGCCGGGAUGUGGCCUAGAUGGUUCCUAAGGUCCCUGACAAUCCUGAGAUCUUGCAUCUUGUCUAUUUCAGGUCAAAGCUUCUCAGAUGACCAAGAUGGUGCUGCAGAUGGUGCUGAGGAUGGAGAACCCACCAAGCCC
rnacentral:lncRNA from 10 species